rnacentral:RNase_P_RNA from 1 species
CGAAGAAGCACAGGUGAUCGCCGCCCGUCCUGCCUGAAGGCAUGAUGGGGGGAGGAAAGUCCGGGCUCCGCAGGGCGCGAUGGUUCCUAACGGGAACCGGGGGUGACCCCAGGGAAAGUGCCACAGAAAGCAAACCGCCCGCUUUGGCCCUGUGCCGAAGCAGGUAAGGGUGAAAGGGUGAGGUAAGAGCUCACCAGUGCCGGUGGUGACACCGGCAGCUCGGUAAACCCCAUCGGGAGCAAGACCGAAUAGGGGAGCGUUUGAGGGCGGCCCGUCCGAAGCUCCCGGGUCUGGUCGCUUGAGGCCGUCGGCAACGGCGGUCCUAGAUGAAUGAUCACCGCCUCGCCCCGGGUAACCGGUACGGGGAACAGAACCCGGCUUACGGGCUUCUUCGGCCA